ACUGUACGGGAGGCAGCAGUGGGGAAUAUUGGACAAUGGACCGAGAGUCUGAUCCAGCAAUUCUGUGUGCACGAUGAAGGUUUUCGGAUUGUAAAGUGCUUUCAGCAGGGAAGAAGAAAGUGACGGUACCUGCAGAAGAAGCGACGGCUAAAUACGUGCCAGCAGCCGCGGUAAUCAGU
rnacentral:rRNA from 1 species